rnacentral:rRNA from 1 species
GAUGAACGCUGGCGGCGUGCUUAACACAUGCAAGUCGAACGAGAAGUGGAGACGGAAACCUUCGGGCGGAAGACUUUAUUUCGAGUGGCGGACGGGUGAGUAACGCGUGGGUAACCUGCCUCAUACAGGGGGAUAACAGUUGGAAACGACUGUUAAUACCGCAUAAGACCACAGCACCGCAUGGUGCGGGGGUAAAAACUCCGGUGGUAUGAGAUGGACCCGCGUUCGAUUAGCCAGUUGGCGGGGUAACGGCCCACCAAAGCGACGAUCGAUAGCCGAUCUGAGAGGAUGACCGGCCACAUUGGGACUGAGACACGGCCCAAACUCCUACGGGAGGCAGCAGUGGGGAAUAUUGCACAAUGGGGGAAACCCUGAUGCAGCGACGCCGCGUGAGUGAAGAAGUAUUUCGGUAUGUAAAGCUCUAUCAGCAGGGAAGAAAAUGACGGUACCUAAGUAAGAAGCCCCGGCUAACUACGUG